rnacentral:rRNA from 1 species
UUGGAGGGCAAGUCUGGUGCCAGCAGCCGCGGUAAUUCCAGCUCCAAUAGCGUAUAUUAAAGUUGUUGCAGUUAAAAAGCUCGUAGUUGAAUUUCGGGGUUCUACCGUUGGUCGGGCUUUGUCUGUACUGGUGUGUAGAAUUUCUACCUUCUGGGGAACCAUCAUGCUAUUAAUUUAGCGUGGUGGGAAACCAGGACCUUUACCUUGAAAAAAUUAGUGUGUUCAAAGCAGGCUUAUGUCUGAAUACAUUAGCGUGGAAUAAUAGAAUAGGACGGUGGUCCUGUUUUGUUGGUUUCUGAAUCACCGUAAUGAUUAAUAGGGAUAGUUGGGGGCAUUAGUAUUCAAUUGUCAGAGGUGAAAUUCUUGGAUUUAUUGAAGACUAACUUCUGCGAAAGCAUUUGCCAAGGAUGUUUUCAUUAAUCAAGAACGAAAGUUAGGGGAUCGAAGACGAUCAGAUACCGCCGUAGUCUUAACCAUAAACUAUGCCGACUAGGGAUCGGACGAUGUUAAUUUUUCUUGACUCGUUCGGCGCCUUACGGGAAAC